GCAUUGCUGAAGAGUCCCACGAUAGGACGAAGCGAUCGUCGAGUGC
rnacentral:hammerhead_ribozyme from 1 species